AAUCUUGAGAUCAAAAUCUAUAUGAAACUCAAAAUGUUGAGAACAAAUUGUUAUGGCAUCCUGUAUAGAAUAUAGACAAUACCAAAAGAGAAAGGAACAAGUCCAAAAGAAAUCUAAUCCUUAACUCUCUCGCACAGCACUAGAGUUCUAACCUGCAGGCUAUAAAAUCUAUAUGAAACUCAAAUAAUCAACUACAAUUUUUACUUGGAAAAAAAAAUUAUUAACAUACAACAAUGCCAUCUUCCUAAAAGUCAUUCAGUCACAUCGUUCUAACAAGAACUAAUUACGGAACAAUUAAUCAAGACCACCCUAAAUACUAUUGAUAUUCCUUUAGAUUUUUGUAUUAACAAUAAAUAAAAUUAAAAACAAAGAAAUAUUUUACAAUUAUAUAAAAUGAGUAACAGAAGUUUAUAGAUUUUAUUGCCUAGUUAAGGAGCAGAAUAACAAAAAAGCCCAAAAAAAAGACCUGGAUUUAGAUGAAUUUGAAUUUGAGAUGAUGAAUCUAUGUUGUUUUCGUGAAGAAUGGAUGGAACCAAGACAAAGAACAACAGACUCUUGAGUGAGAAAUGAAAUUUGGGUAAAACCGCGAGGAUUAGCAGUAAGAAUCAGUGGAGGACAGUGAGAAAUAGGAGCUCAACUCCCAAAACCUGCUUUUUAG
rnacentral:misc_RNA from 1 species